rnacentral:misc_RNA from 1 species
CACAAAGAAAUAUGAAGGCCCCCUUUGGGGGGCUGAAUUAUUUUUUCACCCAUGUCUUUUGCGCACUUGUUGUUUCCUGGGCGGGUUCGCUCGCCACCAGGACCAAACCAUAAACCUUUUUUAUGCAGUUGCAAUCAGCGUCAGUAUAACAAAUGUUAAAUCAUUUA